rnacentral:lncRNA from 1 species
CACACGAGAUUGAUCAGGACCCUUCCCAAUUCAAUAUGGUGCUGCAGCCUUCUUCGCCAGCUUGCUACCGAUCAUCCUUCGCAAGAAUGGAUUGCACAAUUACUUGUAUGCCUUUAAGACCUCUACUAAGACUAUUAUAGGAACCUUUCCUCAUAAGAAUAUGCCACACAAAAAUCAGAUUUGAUGUUCAACAUAUGAACAAUCGGAUUUUAGGACAAGCAUCACAUACUUUCCUUUUUCUCUUCCCUUCUUUUCUAUUUUUCUCUCCCUCUUUUCCUUGUCUUUAUCCAGAUUUUUUUCGACCAUUUUUUUCUCUAUUUCCAUGCCUAUUAUUAGCCCAAAUUCGCACACUGAACCUAGGUCUAGCACCUCCUUUUUAUAGGAAGGAAGGGGCGACACCAUGGGACGCCAACUCUUGGCGUCCCUUAUAUAUUACAUGCCAAAAAUAAAUUUUUAGCAUGGAAUACAAGGGGAUGGCAUGGAAUAUGCAGUGGUUUACUAGCAGGACUCUUCCUUUGCUAAGAAAAAAUAUAACGCCAACUCUUGACACGUGGGAAAAGGAAUGGCAUGAGAAACCAAAGAGUCUAUGACAUUAAGGACUCUUCCAUAUCAUCCAAAAUAUGCGGUGUCCCUUAAUGAAUUUUGGCAUGUGAAUUUCUUGCCAGAGAAGGACUCUUCCUUCUCUUUUGCGCCCAUAAUCUCAAGAGCCAUCUCAUGAAAUGAGGAAUUAAGAAAUGCAUGGAAUAAAUGGCAUGGAAUUUAAAAGGAGUGGAAGAGAAGGACUCCUCUUAACGCCAUUUAUUUUUGAGUGUGUCAUUAAUUUUGUGCAUGUGGAGUUGGCAUGGAGGAGGUUAAUCUGAUAUGAAACUCUUCCAUAAAAAUCAGAUCAGCCAUCUGUUUAAUUAUAGGUUCAAACACAAUCACAUUAGGUUAAGACUACAAGUCAAAGGUUAGCACAAACACCUUUGCACUGAACCUAAUUGAGAACUUGGGUUAAUUCAUGUGCGAGUAAUUCAAUUAACCCAUUGGAUUUACAAUAAAUCCAAAUAGAUUGGACCAAGACCAAAUUCUUAUUGUGUGUGACCCAUUGAGUUUCAAAUUUAGCCAGUAG